rnacentral:rRNA from 1 species
UUCAACGGCCACGGUACCCUAACCGCGCGAAGGUAGCACAAUCACUUGUUCUCUAAAUAAGGACCGGUAUGAACGGCAUCACGAAGACUAUACUGUCUCCUUUCUGUAAUCAGUGAAACUGAUCCCCCCGUGAAAAAGCGGGGAUUAUACUACAAGACGAGAAGACCCCAUGGAGCUUUAAGAAAAUAGCAACUGCCACUAAAACAACACAGAAAAUAUGACAGACCUGACUAUCAACUUUAGGUUGGGGAGACCAUGGAGUAAAACAAAACCUCCACACUGAACGGGCCAGGCCCUAAUUUAAGAACCACAACUCCAAAAAUCAACAUAUUGACAUUUAUUGAUCCAAACCCUUGAUUAAUGAACCAAGUUACCCUGGGGAUAACAGCGCAAUCCAUUUCAAGAGCCCCUAUCGACAAAUGGGUUUACGACCUCGAUGUUGGAUCAGGGUAUCCCAGUGGUGCAGCCGCUACUAAAGGUUUGUUUGUUCAACAAUUAAAACCCUACGUGAUCUGA